rnacentral:tRNA from 1 species
AAGAAAUUAGUUAAACUAAUAAUAAAAACUUGUCAAGUUUUAGUUACUAAAAUAGUAUUUCUUU